rnacentral:rRNA from 1 species
UGAGUGGCGGACGGUGAGUAACGCGUGGGCAACCUGCCCUGUACAGGGGGACAACACUUAGAAAUAGGUGCUAAUACCGCAUAACGGGGGGAGCCGCAUGGCACCCCCCUGAAAACUCCGGUGGUACAGGAUGGGCCCGCGUCUGAUUAGCUGGUUGGCAGGGUAACGGCCUACCAAGGCGACGAUCAGUAGCCGGCCUGAGAGGGCGGACGGCCACACUGGGACUGAGACACGGCCCAGACUCCUACGGGAGGCAGCAG